rnacentral:rRNA from 1 species
GGAUUAGUGGCGAACGGGUGAGUAACACGUGAGUAACCUGCCCUUGACUCUGGGAUAAGCCUGGGAAACUGGGUCUAAUACCGGAUAUGACUCCUCAUCGCAUGGUGGGGGGUGGAAAGCUUUUGUGGUUUUGGAUGGACUCGCGGCCUAUCAGCUUGUUGGUGGGGUAAUGGCCUACCAAGGCGACGACGGGUAGCCGGCCUGAGAGGGUGACCGGCCACACUGGGACUGAGACACGGCCCAGACUCCUACGGGAGGCAGCAGUGGGGAAUAUUGCACAAUGGGCGCAAGCCUGAUGCAGCGACGCCGCGUGAGGGAUGACGGCCUUCGGGUUGUAAACCUCUUUCAGUAGGGAAGAAGCGUAAGUGACGGUACCUGCAGAAGAAGCGCCGGCUAACUACGUGCCAGCAGCCGCGGUAAUACGUAGGGCGCAAGCGUUAUCCGGAAUUAUUGGGCGUAAAGAGCUCGUAGGCGGUUUGUCGCGUCUGCUGUGAAAGACCGGGGCUCAACUCCGGUUCUGCAGUGGGUACGGGCAGACUAGAGUGCAGUAGGGGAGACUGGAAUUCCUGGUGUAGCGGUGAAAUGCGCAGAUAUCAGGAGGAACACCGAUGGCGAAGGCAGGUCUCUGGGCUGUAACUGACGCUGAGGAGCGAAAGCAUGGGGAGCGAACAGGAUUAGAUACCCUGGUAGUCCAUGCCGUA